rnacentral:misc_RNA from 1 species
UGUGGGAGCGAGCUUGCUCGCGAUGGCGAAGGCGCAUUCAACAUCGAUGCAGGCUGAACCAUUGCUAUCGCGAGCAAGCUCGCUCCCACA